GUUAGCCGAGCUCGCCAUUAUAAGCGCAGUGGGGGGAAACAUACACCGCAAAUAUCAAGCAUGAACCCCAAAAGGCAUAAGAAAAAGAAGCACAGAAACAUCUAAAACACUGGUGACGCUUAUUUAAAAAUUGCCGGUCUGCGUUUUUGAAAAUAAAAGCACAAACGUUCACGAUCACAGGGCUGCAGUUCCCCAGCCGUCCACCUGCGCCAGUCCUCCGCUUUUAUAUACGGAGCUGCGCGAGACAGGGCAGGGUCAAGCACGCGCUGAGAGAAAUAUCGCGAGACUUCCACGCGCUCAGACUCGACUAAUAAUGCGAUCCUGGAUCAGUUUAAUCCGCGGCUGAUUGGAUUUUCUGUAUAGGAAGGAACUAUAGAGGCUGUGCUCAAAUCAGAAGAAAGAAGGUCAAACACAUCUUGGAUGGCAUGAGGGACUCAACGGAAGGGGUCUGAUUACUGGAAAGAGCCCCUGAGUGGCCAUACAUGAGCCAUGCUGUAUCACUCUCUGUGGAACUGCGACACAACAAACACCCAGUUACAACUCACACCAUACAGAAACAAUACAAUAUCACCCUAACAUUGUACAGUAUAAUGCACAGAACUUAGAUCUAAGUCACCAGGGUUGUGUGGCAUAGUGUAACUGGAUCCUUAGUAUGCAUCUAUCUAGACAGAAUUUUCAUUUUUGGGUGAGCUAUGGACACUGAGGACGGCCAUCACAGGUGUCCAGUCACAAACUGUAAGCACUCUGGCAUUGGCUGGUUGCAAGCUCUAGUGAAGUGGCCUUGAGCUAAGACUGCCCAGUCGAGAGCUUGGCACACAUACUCACACACGGAGCGCUUGGCUUUUAUGUAGACAACCAUCAAGACAUUCACAUCACUCAAAAGCCAAUAGCCCUGUUCAGACACUUUUCACAGGCAGCUCUGCCUCCAUUAUUCCAUCAUCAAGAGCAGAUGAGAAGGAGAGAGGAGCCACUACAGACAGAUAAUGUAUUUAUUUCCUUCCAUUUAGCUGCUCGCUGUGGAGUGGAAAGAGAGCACCUUGAUUGGAAUCGAAUGGACAUUUAAACGUCUGGAACACCAACAGGGAAUGAGACAGGGAGAGAGAAAAACAGAUGGACUAAAAGAGAGAUGAAGGAGCAGUUGUGGGAAAUGAGAGAACGAGUGAUGAAAGCAAGAAUGAUUCCCAAGAGAUUACAAAAUGUAAUCUACAGGCUCAAAGCAGCAAUUUGAGCUAUAAAGAGUAUUUUUUAUUUAUUUUUUUUAAAUCAAGGGUCUCCUGCAAGUUGCAAUCAAGGGUCUCUCACAAGGCAGUUGAAAUAAAAAUACAGAAUAGACGAAAAAGACAAAA